UGGUUGUGGCAGUGGGCUUGAUGUGUUGCAGCGUAGUCUACAUUUUCCUUUGUGCGUAGUCAAGACUAAGCUGUAUUUCCUGACCCCGAGAGUCAUCCGUGGCUAAUAUGAGCUAAUCGUCCCUGAAUAGAUGACGGAAAACAUGACCAAGACGGGGGAAAGAAGCUCACUCAAAACCACACACAGACAUUAUCCUGGUGACAAAAGACAUACACAAGGACUUAGAAGCUGUGUGGUUAACAUGGCUCGGGUUGGGCGGCCACUCCCCUCCUUCCCCAAUACUCGCUAGGGUUUGGGAGCUGCUGGAAGACAUGUUUGAACUCUCAGACCAAC